CCUACGGGUGGCAGCAGUGAGGAAUAUUGGUCAAUGGGCGCGAGCCUGAACCAGCCAAGUCGCGUGAAGGAUGACUGCCCUACGGGUUGUAAACUUCUUUUAUAAAGGAAUAAAGUGAGGCACGUGUGCCUUUUUGUAUGUACUUUAUGAAUAAGGAUCGGCUAACUCCGUGCCAGCAGCCGCGGUAAUACAGAGGAUCCGAGCGUUAUCCGGAUUCAUUGGGUUUAAAGGGCGCGUAGAUGGGUUGUUAAGUCAGUUGUGAAAGUUUGCGGCUCACCCGUCAAAUUGCAAUUGAUACUGGGAGUCUAGAGUACAGUUGAGGUAGGCGGAAUUCGCGGUGUAGCGGUGAAAUGCUUAGAUAUCGCGAAGAACUCCGAUUGCGAAGGCAGCUUACUAAACUUCCACUGACAUUGAUGCUCGAAAGUGUGGGUAUCGAACAGGAUUAGAUACCCUGGUAGUC
rnacentral:rRNA from 1 species